CCUACGGGGGGCUGCAGUGGGGAAUAUUGCACAAUGGGCGCAAGCCUGAUGCAGCCAUGCCGCGUGUGUGAAGAAGGCCUUCGGGUUGUAAAGCACUUUCAGCGGGGAGGAAGGCGGUGAGGUUAAUAACCUUAUCGAUUGACGUUACCCACAGAAGAAGCACCGGCUAACUCCGUGCCAGCAGCCGCGGUAAUACGGAGGGUGCAAGCGUUAAUCGGAAUUACUGGGCGUAAAGCGCACGCAGGCGGUCUGUCAAGUCGGAUGUGAAAUCCCCGGGCUCAACCUGGGAACUGCAUUCGAAACUGGCAGGCUAGAGGCUUGUAGAGGGGGGUAGAAUUCCAGGUGUAGCGGUGAAAUGCGUAGGGAUCUGGAGGAAUACCGGUGGCGAAGGCGGCCCCCUGGACAAAGACUGACGCUCAGGUGCGAAAGCGUGGGGAGCAAACAGGAUUAGAUACCCGUGUAGUC
rnacentral:rRNA from 1 species